UAGAAGCAGUGAAUGAUGGAAUAAAAUUAGAUGAAUAAAUCUAUAUCUUCUAUAGUAAUAUAGGAAAGAAAGAUGUUGUGGAAAAUACAACACUACCCUUAUUGCAAAAGUGUACUAUCCUGGUACUAGGUAAUAUUCCUUAUUCUUUCGGCCUAUUUUAACUUUGAAGACAAAUUAUGGUUGGCUCAUACUUGUAUGACAAUGAAAGAGCUACUAUAAAGGAUGAUUAAGGUUUACACUUAGAUGAUGUUGUAAAUCAAUCAUGUUGUUCUCACGUACAGGCACUAAUCCCAGAUUUGUAUUUUGUAAUAUCCUCUUUGUUGAGAGUUAUAAUCUUAGGAAAUAACAUUAUACCACGAGGUGGUAACACAUAAAGUAACAUAGAUGAUGUUGUAAAUCAAUCAAGUUGUUCUCAUGCAUAUGCAUUGAUCUAAGAUUUGUGCAUACAUAUACAAACUCAAAGUGUUGUAAUUGGCUCACUAGUGUAAACACCCUUUAAUUUGAUUAAAUGAUUCUAGAGAGAUGUUAAACACUCGCAACUUUCAACAUAUGUGGUGGUAUUCUACUAUAUGGAAGUUGAAAGUGGAAUGACCUAAAGAGAUUGUGAAUAAUACUCAACCCUAGAUAUGAGUGAUAAUACUAAACCCUGGAUAGUGGUAUCAAUACUCAACUAAAGAUGCAUGCGUGCUGGAUCUUGAGGAAUCUAUAAGUGCUUCUACCAAUUAUCAUGAGAGGCAUGAACAUACUUAUAGUGCCUGAAGAAGAAAAGUAAAAAAUGUUGGUAUGGUGAGACAAGAUUAAAAUGACAUAGGUUUAGAGAUGCUGCGAAUAAUACAUGGUUCCUCAACAAUCUGAUGAGAAUAUCAAAGAUUGUAUGUUUUAUGGUAGGUCGGAGAGAGCUUAUCAAAAUUGGGGUAGCACUUUGGUGACAUAGUGGUUGGUGACAUUGGUGACAUUGGUCAACCACAAUGUCACAUGUGGCUUUCUUCUUUUUCUUUCACAAGAUUUUUUUGUUGUUUUGCACACUUGUAACAUUGUGGUUGAUAAUGUCACGAAUGUCACCAACCACAAUAUCACCCAAGUAUCAUCCCUUGCGUGUCCCGUCUCUAAUCUUAACAACUCAUUUAGUAACCAUUUAUUACAAUGCCUCGGUAGAACACUAGAUGAACAAUGUAACAGCCUAAUAUUUUAUAUAUAUGUCAUUUAUUAUAAUUUUCUUGAUUUAUCAUUUAAGAGGUUAAUAAUUUAUUUUGCGGAAAUAAUUUAAGGAA
rnacentral:lncRNA from 1 species